UCUCACAGUAACCGGAAAUACGUAAUCGUCGUGAAAGCGGAGUUCCUGUCAAGUGUCAACACACUAGAAAAACAUAAACCCGGGCAAGUUUAAAAUGGAUCAAAGAGUCUACACAACUUUGUUAACGGAUUUGCCAAAUAUUACAUUUGCUGAUGUGACACGACUAAUGGAGGAAAACAUUUUCCAUGAAGAAUUUGUCCAUACAUUUCUAGGUAAGUAGAGAGCAAGUCUAACUGUUACUGAACUGUUAACUAAAACGACACAUUAUUAGCGUGUCCACUUACACAUAAUGUAUGUAUAGUAGAUGAUAUAGACUACCUUACUAAAACAAUAUAGUCUGCUUUCAAUGAAGCAUUAUGGUACCAAUUACCUUCAAUUACUGCCUAUGGUUGUCCAAGUGAACGUCUUGUGUGUAGCAACAAUAAUAGCCGGAUGAUAUCAUUAUCAGUUAACAUUUUUGUCUGGUAAUGUCUGUGAUCGUAUGUUUGUGUGUCAGGGUGAACUCGUUCCAAGAAAAAUGGGUAGAGACAGCAUUUGGUUGCAAGCGGCGACCAGUGAGCACUAAAAUGUAAUCGUCUUUAGUGAACAGUCUGCUGCAUACCUAAGUGCUCCACUUUCUUAUGGUGAAGUUAGGUCCUUAAUCUCGCCGGAUAGCCUAAAUCCACUUCUGUCUAACUUCACCAUCAACAGGGAAUUAAUGGAACAGAUACGGCUUUUUACAUUGCAUUGACUGCGGAGGAAGUAGAUCUACGUGACGAUUGCGUAUUUCCGGUCAUAGAUACGGAAGUUGUGAGAAAGGUCUAUUGAGAGGAUAACGGCACAGCGGGGUUUUAGAAGUAAGUUUAAAAUAUUUAAUAUAUUUUGCAUAAGUUUCUUGAUGUCUAGUUUGUUACAGCUUAAUUAGUCAUUACUGUUAGGGGAGGUUUGCAAGUUUUUGUCAUAGUAAUCGUGUAGCUUGCGGUUUACUAUGGUUUGAUGCUUAAUUUUUCUUGGGUGUUUUUGUAAAUAUGUCUUAAUUUAAUGUUAUUGCACAAUGCACAAAACUGUUCAGAAUCUUUCAGUUUAUAUUAUUCUGGUUAACCUUAUGAAGCAUGUUCUUAAAGGAACAGUGAUUAAUAAGACACUUAUUUAUGCAGUUAAUUCAUCAUUUACAAAAUACGAUUUGUUUAAAAAAGGCAAUACAUUUAUGUUGCCUAACAGUCACUUGAGAAAUAAUUCUAGAAAAAUAACGUGUACAGACAUUUACACAGACAUGGUUAAUGUAACUGUUACAUCUGCAUGUAAAUUAUAUAGAUAAAAACAGCUUUCUGGCAACAGGUGAUGUGCUUUAGUUAAUAUAUUUAAAAGGUUCAUAUCUAAUGCAUUUUGACAUUCCUUAUAUUUAUCUUUAUGUAAGAGUUAUACUUUUAUUUUAGUGAGAGGGUUAUAUUUGUGUUUAAGCAAACAUUGCAAGCAGGCCAAGCACUUAUAGCUUGACAUGGCUGGAGUCAAUACUACCUCACCAAAAUUACAACUAAUGUUUGGCUUAAACCUUGCCUAAUCGCAGUGUUUUUCCCUUUUAUUAUUUCUCUUUUUGUAGGCCCAUCAGAGUGAUUUCCUGAGUUCUUUCACAUAUGCUGUAUGGUCAGCGAAUGGAUGGAUUAUCCAGUCACGGUACAUAAUGAAAGACUUAACUGAGUUAGAAGAAGCUGAGCGACUCUUCAGAGUGAAGAUGUUAUGAUGCAGUUAUGUCAAAGCACUUGUUUCUGCUGGCCAGAUUGGAACAGACCUGAAUGGGAAGAUGGCAGAGCUAAGACUGACAAUGUCCAGGGAAAAUGUUAACUAAAAAUGAGUGUGUUUUUCCCCAGCGAGUGAGUUUGGGAAUGUUUUAAAUGUGCCUAGAAGUUUGAAAAUGUAAUACUAAGGGAAAAAAGUGAGCGCUUUGAAAAGGCUUUAAAAAGAAAAUAAAGUCUGAAGUUGAUGUUAAAUGAAGUUAAAGUUUUUACUUGAAAAGUUUGUACUUGUUUUUACUUGUCAAGUCUGUGCUGAAAAAAUGCAGUAAAGUUUGUAUUUGAAAAGACUUGGAAUUGUGUGUUCUGUAGAAUGAGUACGAAUAUAUGUGCAGGCUGUAUAAAAAACAUAGUUGUGCCACUAAUAUAAGUGAAAGUACAUGCACUCUUAAGAAAAAUGGUUCUUCAAAGGUUCUGAAACGAUGGUAAAGGUUCUAUAUAGAACCAUAGCUUACUGAAGAACCCUUUUUUCCUGAAAUGGUUCUUUGUCUUGCAAAAGGUUCUUUAUUUCCCUCCUUUUUUAUUUUAAAUUGAGUCAGUUAUUUUCAAGCUGCCUCCUGAUUAUUUUCACCUGUAAAAGCCCUGA